rnacentral:rRNA from 1 species
CAUGCAAGUCGAGCGUGAUUCUUAAACUUCGGUUUUUGAUGAAAGCGGCGAACGGGUGAGUAACGCGUGGGAACGUGCCCUUUAGUAUGGAAUAGCCCGGGGAAACCUGGAAUAAUACCAUAUACGCCCUUCGGGGGAAAGAUUUAUCGCUAAAGGAUCGGCCCGCGUCUGAUUAGGUAGUUGGUAAGGUAAAGGCUUACCAAGCCUACGAUCAGUAGCUGGUUUGAGAGGAUGAUCAGCCACACUGGGACUGAGACACGGCCCAGACUCCUACGGGAGGCAGCAGUGGGGAAUCUUGGACAAUGGGGGCAACCCUGAUCCAGCCAUGCCGCGUGAGUGAAGAAGGCCUUCGGGUUGUAAAACUCUUUCAACGGUGAAGAUAAUGACGGUAACCGUAGAAGAAGCCCCGGCUAACUCCGUGCCAGCAGCCGCGGUAAUACGGAGGGGGCUAGCGUUGUCCGGAAUUACUGGGCGUAAAGAGCAUGUAGGCGGACUGGUCAGUCAGUGGUGAAAUCCCGGAGCUCAACUCCGGAACUGCCUUUGAUACUGCCGGUCUAGAGUUUUGGAGAGGUGAGUGGAAUUCCGAGUGUAGAGGUGAAAUUCGUAGAUAUUCGGAGGAACACCAGCGGCGAAGGCGGCUCACUGGCCAAAAACUGACG